rnacentral:rRNA from 1 species
UACGUAGGGUGCAAGCGUUGUCCGGAAUUAUUGGGCGUAAAGAGCUCGUAGGCGGCUUGUCGCGUCGGCUGUGAAAACCUGGGGCUCAACCCCGGGCCUGCAUUCGAUACGGGCAGACUAGAGUUCGGUAGGGGAGUCUGGAAUUCCUGGUGUAGCGGUGAAAUGCGCAGAUAUCAGGAGGAACACCGGUGGCGAAGGCAGGUCUCUGGGCAUUAACUGACGCUGAGGAGCGAAAGCAUGGGGAGCGAACAGG